rnacentral:rRNA from 1 species
UACGUAGGGUGCAUGCGUUGUCCGGAAUUAUUGGGCGUAAAGAGCUCGUAGGCGGUCUGUCACGUCUGCUGUGAAAACUCGGGGCUUAACCCCGGGCCUGCAGUGGGUACGGGCAGACUAGAGUGCGGUAGGGGAGACUGGAAUUCCUGGUGUAGCGGUGAAAUGCGCAGAUAUCAGGAGGAACACCGGUGGCGAAGGCGGGUCUCUGGGCCGUAACUGACGCUGAGGAGCGAAAGCGUGGGGAGCGAACAGG